GGACGUGACUAACGACGAUAUUCUAGGGGGAGCAGUAAGUACGCAUUGAUCCCUAGGUCUCCGAAUGGGGAAACCCAGCUGCUACUAGCAGUUAUUCAUGAGUGAAUACAUAGCUCAUGUAAAGGUAACGCAGAGAACUGAAACAUCUAAGUACCUGCAGGAAGAGAAAGUAAAAACGAUUUCGUAAGUAGCGGCGAGCGAACGCGAAGAAGGGCAAACCAAGAAGCUUGCUUCUUGGGGUUGUAGGACUGCAACGUGGACUUAAGCAUUAUAGUCGAAUAACCUGGGAAGGUUAAUCAAAGAGGGUAAUAAUCCCGUAGACGAAAUAGCGCUUAUACCUAGCAGUAUCCUGAGUAGGGCUGGACACGCGAAAUCCAGUUUGAAUCCGGGAGGACCAUCUCCCAACCCUAAAUACUCCUUAGUGACCGAUAGUGAACCAGUACCGUGAGGGAAAGGUGAAAAGAACCCCGAGAGGGGAGUGAAAUAGCACCUGAAACCGUGUGCCUACAAGAAGUUCGAGCCCGUUAAUGGGUGAGAGCGUGCCUUUUGUAGAAUGAACCGGCGAGUUACGUUAUGAUGCGAGGUUAAGUUGAAGAGACGGAGCCGUAGGGAAACCGAGUCUGAAUAGGGCGACUUAGUAUCAUGAUGUAGACCCGAAACCUAGUGACCUAUCCAUGAGCAGGGUGAAGGUGUGGUAAGACGCACUGGAGGCCCGAACCAGGACACGUUGAAAAGUGUUUGGAUGACUUGUGGAUAGCGGAGAAAUUCCAAACGAACUGGGAGAUAGCU
rnacentral:rRNA from 2 species